UGAGGAAUAUUGGUCAAUGGGCGAGAGCCUGAACCAGCCAAGUAGCGUGAAGGAUGACUGCCCUAUGGGUUGUAAACUUCUUUUAUAAAGGAAUAAAGUCGGGUAUGUAUACCCGUUUGCAUGUACUUUAUGAAUAAGGAUCGGCUAACUCCGUGCCAGCAGCCGCGGUAAUACGGAGGAUCCGAGCGUUAUCCGGAUUUAUUGGGUUUAAAGGGAGCGUAGAUGGAUGUUUAAGUCAGUUGUGAAAGUUUGCGGCUCAACCGUAAAAUUGCAGUUGAUACUGGAUAUCUUGAGUGCAGUUGAGGCAGGCGGAAUUCGUGGUGUAGCGGUGAAAUGCUUAGAUAUCACGAAGAACUCCGAUUGCGAAGGCAGCCUGCUAAGCUGCAACUGACAUUGAGGCUCGAAAGUGUGGGUAUCAAACAGGAUUAGAUACCCUGGUAGUCCACACGGUAAACGAUGAAUACUCGCUGUUUGCGAUAUACGGCAAGCGGCCAAGCGAAAGCGUUAAGUAUUCCACCUGGGGAGUACGCCGGCAACGGUGAAACUCAAAGGAAUUGACGGGGGCCCGCACAAGCGGAGGAACAUGUGGUUUAAUUCGAUGAUACGCGAGGAACCUUACCCGGGCUUAAAUUGCAGAUGAAUUACGGUGAAAGCCGUAAGCCGCAAGGCAUCUGUGAAGGUGCUGCAUGGUUGUCGUCAGCUCGUGCCGUGAGGUGUCGGCUUAAGUGCCAUAACGAGCGCAACCCUUGUUGUCAGUUACUAACAGGUUUUGCUGAGGACUCUGACAAGACUGCCAUCGUAAGAUGUGAGGAAGGUGGGGAUGACGUCAAAUCAGCACGGCCCUUACGUCCGGGGCUACACACGUGUUACAAUGGGGGGUACAGAGGGCCGCUACCACGCGAGUGGAUGCCAAUCCCCAAAACCUCUCUCAGUUCGGACUGGAGUCUGCAACCCGACUCCACGAAGCUGGAUUCGCUAGUAAUCGCGCAUCAGCCACGGCGCGGUGAAUACGUUCCC
rnacentral:rRNA from 1 species